GUGAAUCAUCAAAUUUUUGAACGCAAAUUGCACUCUCCUCUGAGAGUAUGCCUGUUUGAGGUUCAGCCUAUAAAAAAUCGACAUCGUUGCUGUUUCGCGGUGGCGUUCGUCGGAAAUUGCGUCAUCUUAAAUCUUUUGGGUUUAAGCGACUUACAAUUUUCUUUUUGUUUCCUUCAAGGUUUUACGCAUUUAUUUCUUUACACUUUAAAGG
rnacentral:misc_RNA from 1 species